rnacentral:rRNA from 1 species
UUCGGGAUGCUGACGAGCGGCGGACGGGUGAGUAAUGCAUAGGAAUCUACCCGGUAGUGGGGGAUAACCUGGGGAAACCCAGGCUAAUACCGCAUACGUCCUACGGGAGAAAGGGGGCUUUGGCUCCCGCUAUCGGAUGAGCCUAUGCCGGAUUAGCUGGUUGGUGAGGUAACGGCUCACCAAGGCGACGAUCCGUAGCUGGUCUGAGAGGAUGAUCAGCCACAUCGGGACUGAGACACGGCCCGAACUCCUACGGGAGGCAGCAGUGGGGAAUAUUGGACAAUGGGGGCAACCCUGAUCCAGCCAUGCCGCGUGUGUGAAGAAGGCCCUCGGGUUGUAAAGCACUUUCAGCGAGGAAGAACGCCUGGUGGUUAAUACCCGCCAGGAAAGACAUCACUCGCAGAAGAAGCACCGGCUAACUCCGUGCCAGCAGCCGCGGUAAUACGGAGGGUGCAAGCGUUAAUCGGAAUUACUGGGCGUAAAGCGCGCGUAGGUGGCUUGAUAAGCCGGUUGUGAAAGCCCCGGGCUCAACCUGGGAACGGCAUCCGGAACUAUCAGGCUAGAGUGCAGGAGAGGAAGGUAGAAUUCCCGGUGUAGCGGUGAAAUGCGUAGAGAUCGGGAGGAAUACCAGUGGCGAAGGCGGCCUUCUGGACUGACACUGACACUGAGGUGCGAAAGCGUGGGUAGCAAACAGGAUUAGAUACCCUGGUAGUCCACGCCGUAAACGAUGUCGACCAGCCGUUGGGUGCCUAGCGCACUUUGUGGCGAAGUUAACGCGAUAAGUCGACCGCCUGGGGAGUACGGCCGCAAGGUUAAAACUCAAAUGAAUUGACGGGGGCCCGCACAAGCGGUGGAGCAUGUGGUUUAAUUCGAUGCAACGCGAAGAACCUUACCUACCCUUGACAUCCUGCGAACGUGUGAGAGAU